rnacentral:rRNA from 1 species
AACCAUAUCAUGUUGAAACAUCGGUUCCCAUAUGAUCACCAAAAUUAAGCAACAUUGAGCCUGGUCAGUACCUAGAUGGGUGACUGCUUCGGAAUCACCUGGUGCUAU